rnacentral:lncRNA from 1 species
CCUCUAUUAUUUAUUCUGUAAAGUAUGGGAACUGAACCUCAAAAGAAGGUUUUUGUCAGUUUGACAAUGCAUAGUAAAAUAAUUGCCUUUUAAAUUCAUUCCUUAGAAGAAGCAAAAAGAAGAAAAGAAGUUCCAGAAAAGAAAGCUAUUCAUGAAGUUAAAACAAAAGGUACUACCUUAUUUUAAAAUGUGGCAGUUAAUUUACCCACUCUUCAGAGACCUCUGCCUAUUAUAAUUCCUAAAGAAAUAGAAAUAAAAAUAAUUUAUGGUUCGUGUCUUAGAAGCAGAAGAAAGAAAAAAGGUAACUCACAAGAAGAAAAUUAUUCCUGAAAUUAAAGGGAAAGCUUUGGAACAGGAAAAGAAGGUAACCCAAGAGAAGAAAGCUAUUUCUGAAACAAAAAUUAAAGGGGGAAAAGAAGAAAGAAAGAAAGCUCUUGAGAAAACAGCUGUCCCUGAAGUUAAAAAGGCAGCAGUACAUGAAAAGAAAGAAGACAGAUUAUUAAAGGCAGUGGAGCAAGACAAACCAAAAUCCAAAGAAACAAAAGAUAUCAGAGGGAAAGAAGCAAAACAUGUGGCACCAAAAGUCAAAGAUGUUGCAAAAGAAAAAGUGAAGUCUCCUACUACUGUGAAAGAAAAAGAGGCAGUAAAACCAAAGGAAGUAAAGCCUACCAUUCCCCAGAAGCAGAAAGCACCUGAAGUGAUAAAAGAAACCAAAGAUACUUCUCAUCGUGCCAUUGCAGGACAAGAGGUUCUUAAGCACGACAAAGGAGCUCCUCAAGGAAAGCCAGAAGAAAUCACAGUAGCAGAUAAGAAAAAAGCAGAAAAGCCUUUGAAGGAAAAAGACAGAAAAAUGGCAGCGGUGACUCAUUUGAAAGAAGAAAAAGCCAAGGUCCCAGCAGUAAAAGAAUCCCAUCACCAUCGUAACAUGACAACAGACAAGCUUUCAAAGGCUUCAAAAGCAACAGCUGCUGUCCGCUACUAUCAGUGUGUCUUUGUAAAUGGAUACAAUGACUACAAACCGCAACACCCUGUUACCCCUGCCCAGGACUACAAAGGAAAGGCCGGGCAGACAAAAAAUUCUGGGCACAAGAUCAAGACACUGAAACAAUAG